rnacentral:rRNA from 1 species
UGGGGAAUAUUGCGCAAUGGAGGAAACUCUGACGCAGCAACGCCGCGUGCGGGAUGAAGGCCUUCGGGUUGUAAACCGCUUUCAGCAGGGAAGACUCAAGACGGUACCUGCAGAAGAAGCCCCGGCUAACUACGUGCCAGCAGCCGCGGUAAUACGUAGGGGGCAAGCGUUAUCCGGAUUCAUUGGGCGUAAAGCGCGCGCAGGCGGACUUGUAAGCGGGACCUCUAAUCUUGGGGCUUAACCUCAAGCCGGGUUCCGAACUGCAAGCCUUGAGUGCGGUAGGGGUAAGCGGAAUUCCCGGUGUAGCGGUGGAAUGCGCAGAUAUCGGGAAGAACACCGAUGGCGAAGGCAGCUUACUGGGCCGUCACUGACGCUGAGGCGCGAAAGCUAGGGGAGCAAACAGG